UGCGGUCCAGCGCCGCCGUCGGCCGCUUGCCUGUUUCCUGAAUGGGGUGGGUUGGAAACUCCAUCGCAAUGCCGCCGGCCUCGCGGAUGCCCUCGCGCACGCGCUGCGCGAGCUCAAUAUGAUGGCGGUUGCAGNUCGUUGCCGGUCUGGGCGAUGCCGAUAAUAGGCUUGCCGGAUUGCAGUUCGUGCCGCGUCAGCCCGUAAUUCAGAUACCGCUCAAGAUAAAGGGCCGUCAUUCCCGGAU
rnacentral:misc_RNA from 1 species